AGAGUUUGAUCCYGGCUCASAAUAAACSCUGGCGGCGUGCCYAACACMUGCMAGUCSAGCGGGAAAGUCCUUCSGGAUGAGUACMGCGGCGGACGGGUGAGAAACGCGUAAGAAUCUGCCCUUUAGUGAAGAAUGCCUCCGAGAAAUCGGAGUUAAUACUGCAUACGUCCCUACGGGGAGAAAGAUGGCCUCUUUGCUGUCSCUGAUGGAUGAGCUUGCGUACUAUUAGCUAGUUGGUGGGGUAAAGGCCUACCAAGGCGAUGAUGGUUAACCGGCCUGAGAGGGUGUUCGGUCACMUUGGAACUGAGACACGGUCCAGACUCCUACGGGAGGCAGCAGUGGGGAAUAUUGCGCAAUGGGCGAAAGCCUGACGCAGCSACGCCGCGUGGAGGAUGAAGGUCUUAGGAUUGUAAACUUCUGUUAAGUGGGAAAA
rnacentral:rRNA from 1 species